AUAUUGCACAAUGGGGGAAACCCCGAUGCAGCGACGCCGCGUGAGCGAAGAAGGCCUUCGGGUCGUAAAGCUCUGUCCUAAGGGAAGAAACGGACGGUACCUUAGGAGGAAGCCCCGGCUAACCACGUUCCAGCAGCCGCGGUAAUACGUAGGGGGCGAGCGUUAUCCGGAAUUAUUGGGCGGAAAGGGUGAGUAGGCGGGCUUUUAAGUCAGAUGUAAAAGGCUACGGCUUAACCGUAGAUAGCAUUUGAAACUAAAAGGCUUGAGUGCAGGAGAGGAGAGUGAAAUUCCUAGUGUAGCGGUGAAAUGCGUAGAUAUUAGGGGGAACAACAGUGGGGAAGGCGACUCUCUGGACUGCAACUGACGCUGAGGCACGAAAGCGUGGGGAGCGAACAG
rnacentral:rRNA from 1 species